rnacentral:rRNA from 1 species
GUGCCAGCAGCCGCGGUAAUACGGAGGGUGCAAGCGUUAAUCGGAAUUACUGGGCGUAAAGCGCGCGUAGGUGGCUUGAUAAGCCGGUUGUGAAAGCCCCGGGCUCAACCCGGGAACGGCAUCCGGAACUAUGAGGCUAGAGUGCAGGAGAGGAAGGUAGAAUUCCCGGUGUAGCGGUGAAAUGCGUAGAGAUCGGGAGGAAUACCAGUGGCGAAGGCGGCCUUCUGGACUGACACUGACACUGAGGUGCGAAAGCGUGGGUAGCAAACAGGAUUAGAUACCCUGGUAGUCCACGCCGUAAACGAUGUCGACCAGCCGUUGGGUGCCUAGCGCACUUUGUGGCGAAGUUAACGCGAUAAGUCGACCGCCUGGGGAGUACGGCCGCAAGGUUAAAACUCAAAUGAAUUGACGGGGGCCCGCACAAGCGGUGGAGCAUGUGGUUUAAUUCGAUGCAACGCGAAGAACCUUACCUACCCUUGACAUCCUGCGAACUUGUGAGAGAUCACUUGGUGCCUUCGGGAGCGCAGAGACAGGUGCUGCAUGGCUGUCGUCAGCUCGUGUUGUGAAAUGUUGGGUUAAGUCCCGUAACGAGCGCAACCCUUGUCCUUAUUUGCCAGCGGGUAAUGCCGGGAACUCUAAGGAGACUGCCGGUGACAAACCGGAGGAAGGUGGGGACGACGUCAAGUCAUCAUGGCCCUUACGGGUAGGGCUACACACGUGCUACAAUGGCCGGUACAAAGGGCUGCGAGCUCGCGAGAGUCAGCGAAUCCCUUAAAGCCGGUCUCAGUCCGGAUCGGAGUCUGCAACUCGACUCCGUGAAGUCGGAAUCGCUAGUAAUCGUGCAUCAGAAUGGCACGGUGAAUACGUUCCCGGGCCUUGUACACACCGCCCGUCACACCAUGGGAGUGGACUGCACCAGAAGUGGUUAGCCUAACUUUGGAGGGCGAUCACCACGGUGUGGUUCAUGACUGGGGUGAAGUCGUAACAAGGUAGCC